CCUACGGGUGGCAGCAGUGAGGAAUAUUGGUCAAUGGGCGGGAGCCUGAACCAGCCAAGCCGCGUGAGGGAAGAAGGUACAGCGUAUCGUACACCUCUUUUGUCAGGGAACAAAGGCGGGGACUAGUCCCCGGAUGAGGGUACCUGAAGAAAAAGCAUCGGCUAACUCCGUGCCAGCAGCCGCGGUAAUACGUAGGUGGCAAGCGUUGUCCGGAAUUACUGGGUGUAAAGGGAGCGCAGGCGGGAAGCCAAGUCAGCUGUGAAAACUACGGGCUUAACUUGUAGACUGCAGUUGAAACUGGUUUUCUUGAGUGAAGUAGAGGUUGGCGGAAUUCUGAGUGUAGCGGUGAAAUGCGUAGAUAUUCGGAGGAACACCGGUGGCGAAGGCGGCCAACUGGGCUUUAACUGACGCUGAGGCUCGAAAGUGUGGGGAGCAAACAGGAUUAGAUACCCGUGUAGUC
rnacentral:rRNA from 1 species